rnacentral:pre_miRNA from 1 species
GAUAUACUCCCUCCGUCCAAAAAUACUUGUCGGAGAAAUGGAUAAAAAAAGAUGUAUCUAGAACUAAAAUACAUCUACAUACAUCCAUUUUUCUGACAAGUAUUUUCGGACGGAGGGAGUAUUUG